UGCGACCCCAGGUCAGGCGGGGCUACCCGCUGAGUUUACGCAUAUCAAUAA
rnacentral:rRNA from 1 species